AUUGAACGCUGGCGGCAGGCUUAACACAUGCAAGUCGAGCGGGGGGAGGUAGCUUGCUACCGGACCUAGCGGCGGACGGGUGAGUAAUGCUUAGGAAUCUGCCUAUUAGUGGGGGACAACAUCUCGAAAGGGAUGCUAAUACCGCAUACGUCCUACGGGAGAAAGCAGGGGAUCUUCGGACCCUGCGCUAAUAGAUGAGCCUAAGUCGGAUUAGCUAGUUGGUGGGGUAAAGGCCUACCAAGGCGACGAUCUGUAGCGGGUCUGAGAGGAUGAUCCGCCACACUGGGACUGAGACACGGCCCAGACUCCUACGGGAGGCAGCAGUGGGGAAUAUUGGACAAUGGGGGGAACCCUGAUCCAGCCAUGCCGCGUGUGUGAAGAAGGCCUUAUGGUUGUAAAGCACUUUAAGCGAGGAGGAGGCUACUUUAGUUAAUACCUAGAGAUAGUGGACGUUACUCGCAGAAUAAGCACCGGCUAACUCUGUGCCAGCCGCCGCAGUAA
rnacentral:rRNA from 1 species